UUCUCUAAAGACUCUGAACUGAUAGAUAGAUAGAUAGAGAGAUAAUUUCAUGCAGAAGGACCUUGACUUCAGUAAUGCAUAAAGCAAAAUCCAAAUUCAGUGUAGGGUCCCAUCAUUCCGCAGCAGCAGGUAAUCCCUGACCGAGCUGGGGACGUCCAGUCGACUCACUUGCGAGUGGCAUAGCACCCCCAGGCGACGACGCAAAGCGCAGCGACACAGAUGCUGCAGCGAGCGAGGUUGACCGCUCCUCUCGCGCACCAGUUCGAAGAAGCCCCUGUGUUCCUGCGUGAGAGGGCAGUCGUCCAUCCAGUCGCUUGGUGGGACGUGCGGGUAUGAAUUAAGAAGCACCUCCAACGUGGCGGGAGAGAGGAUGCACUGCCUCAACAUCUGUGCACAGAAAGGUUGUCUCUAAAUGGUCCAGAUUGGAGCUUUUGCAAACCUUUGGUGAGACAGGUUUGGCUCCGUGGUUCAGGAGGGUCCGUACCACUGCUUCAGUACCUGCAGCACGCAUUCCAUGGGCGUGUACCCCGCGCAGUUGCUGACAUCCACCUGUGCUCCAUACUGCAGCAGUAGCUCCACGAUGGCCGGGCAACAGUUGGCGCAAGCGUUGUGCAGCGGCGUGUGUCUCUUCUUGCCUGCCGUGCGCGGGUCGGCGCCCGCAUCCAGCAGCCUGCGGAUCACGCCCAGGUAGCGGCCCGCCUCCGAAGGCCUGUCUGCCCUGGCGCAGGUGGCGUUCAGGGCCGUUUCGCCCUCUCGGUUGGUGGCCAGCACGUCGGCGCCGAGGGAGAGCAGCAGCUCCACGUGGCUGUCCAGGCCCCACAGGGCGGCCACGUGCAGCGGGGUGAGCCUCGACUCAGCCGUCCUCAUGUUCACGUCGGCGCCGCCGUCCAGAAGCAGCUCGGCACACCUGCAGGUGGAUUUUCAUUUCGAUGUAAAACAUCUUUUGUACAGAGAUUGUACAACUUGACUUACAAGUUUAAUUUGUGACUGAGCUCAAAGCUCAAUUUAUUCAUAUAUUGGCUCAGUUUUCCCUACUGAAAUUUAGUAAAAUGCAAUUAAUACAUUCCAGUAUCCCCCCAAAAACAUUUUUUAUUUUUUUAAAGGUCCUGUAGUUUGCCAACCCAACUUUUUUAAUACUUGGGAUGUAAUAUUGUCUCUCUGGUGCCUCAGUAAAGGUGAAAUAUGAAUUAAAACCGUCCACCCAUUA